rnacentral:rRNA from 1 species
ACGACAUAAUCAUACGCCGGAUAAUAAAAACAACAGUUUAAAAUCCAAAUAAUUUGGCGGUGCUUUACAUUAUCAGGGGAACCUGUCCCUUAAUUCGAUAGCCCACGUAAGUCAUACCUUAUCUAGCUCAAGCAUGUGUACUGCUGUCGUCAGUAAACCUCUAUAAGCAAGUUUACAAUAAUGCUCACACAUUUACGUCAAGUCAAAGUGCAGCAAACGGUAAGGAGGAGAUGGGUUACAUUCAUAAUAAUGAUACGCACAUUCUAAAUAAAGAGAAUUUAAGGUGGACUUGACUGUAAUAUCUAAUAAUAAUGAUAUGAAAAAUAUCUAAAGCAUGCACACAUCGCCCGUCACUCUCGUC